AUCUCAAACUACACCUGCAAAGCAUACCUCAGCACUGCUCCUGUCUGCACCCUGGCUGGUGGCAGCCCUGCACAACAAUGAUGCUUUGGGCAAAUUCAGGAUUAGGUCCCUGACACGAAGGAUGCUCAGAGCUGCUUAAGUUGCAAUUGCUGCAAUCAUAUUCCAUACAGAGGAAGACCUUCACUUUGUCAUUUUGCACUGGAGAAGUUGAUCCCACCCAGCACUUUUGGAGAAAGAAGAAAUGAUCACACAGAAAAACCGCCAUUAAAAUGCUUUUUGUCUCCUUCCAGUAGAGAGGUGCUUACUUUCAGACCCUGGUUGCUCCCAAAACAGUGGAACAGAACCUCUGAUCUGCACAAAGGAAGAGACAUCGUCAUCCAAGUAAAUUGUCUGCAAAAAU